GGUGAAGAACGUAGCGAAAUGCGAUAAGUAAUGUGAAUUGCAGAAUUCAGUGAAUCAUCGAAUCUUUGAACGCACAUUGCGCCCGCCAGUAUUCUGGCGGGCAUGCCUGUUCGAGCGUCAUUUCAACCAUCAAGCCCCCGGCUUGUGUUGGGGACCUGCGGCUGCCGCAGGCCCUGAAAACCAGUGGCGGGCUCGCUGUCACACCGAGCGUAGUAGAUUUUCAUCUCGCUCAGGGCGUGCUGCGGGUUCCGGCCGUAAAAAGCCUUAUUUACCCAAGGUUGACCUCGGAUCAGGUAGGAAGACCCGCUGAACUUAAGCAUAUCAAUAAGCGGAGGA
rnacentral:misc_RNA from 1 species